rnacentral:rRNA from 1 species
CGGAUUGGAGUCUGCAACCCGACUCCAUGAAGCUGGAUUCGCUAGUAAUCGCGCAUCAGCCACGGCGCGGUGAAUACGUUCCCGGGCCUUGUACACACCGCCCGUCAAGCCAUGGAAGCCGGGAGUGCCUGAAGUGCGUGAGCGCAAGCAGCGCCCUAAGGUAAAACCGGUGACUGGGGCUAAGUCGUAACAAGGUAGC